ACCCUCGGGCUGUCCAAAAAACAUGGACAAUCCGAAAGAGUUACGCUUAUAGAUAUGCAAAGACUUGCAUAUCUAUAUGCGUAACCCUUUCGGACGGGAGACGCAUAGGGUUACGCGGCUUUGACAUUUAAACUACAAGUGUCAUCAGCUCGAUGGCCGGGACAGAGCAAAAGGGGAAGGCGAGAUAGAGGGAGAUGCUCACCAAGCUACACCGUAGACGAAGUAGUCGAGGUCGAGGUCGAUGUCACCUACAUGAGCAUGAACAUUUUAUAACCAUACAUGCAUGCACAUUCGCAAAGAAGCAUACAUUUUAUAAGCAUACAUGCAUGAGCAUGAACAAAGAUAGCCUCAAAUCAGUUAUUGUAGUAUAAUGUAGUGUAUGCAGAACAUAACCAACAGUUUACAUUUCUUCAUAUGGAAUUGCAGUACCACCAAAUGGCUAAUUUCUAUGCAAAUAAGCUAUGAGGUCCUCAUAAUGAAGUUACGUUAGUGAAACUGUCACAUAUUUCCCCAUGGGUAAUAACACAUCUUACUACUAUCUCAUAAACAAAUGCACGUUAAUCGCUCAAUGUGCCAACACUUGCGAGAGCAACCUAACCAGUGCAUUUCACACACACACUGCAUCAAUGAGCUAUUCCAUCACAAAACCAGCACAUGCAUGAUAAGUUACCAUGUAUCACAAUACCAAGCAGCAAGUAAAUAAUAUGGUUAAACGCAGCAAAAAAAAGAAAAUAAAACUCACCAGAGAAGUGGUGGAGAGGAGAGGGUGGCGGCGG
rnacentral:lncRNA from 1 species